CGUGCGUUGGUGGAAAGAUGGGAACGGAGAGACGUAGGGACGCCGAGAGUGGAAGGAAACGAUGCUAGGCCUGUGGUGCUUUCCGCGAAGGAGACGGAGCUAGAAGACGGGGCGGAAGGGAUUAGCUGUCGGAGGGCGGAGCUUACGAAACCAGGGAAAAGCCCUAACUCACGCAUCUCUUCGCGAGAGGUGAAAGCACCAGGGGGCGGGGCCUUCAUUUAUUAAAUCACGUCAUGCAAAUAAGUUGUAUUGAGAUGAUUGACACACAGCGCUGUAUAAAUUUAAGCUUUUUAAAUUUCCUCUUUGAUUUCUUCCGUGAUCCACUGUCAACAACUAUGUUCUGAAGACACCAGAGAUAUGCACAGAAUAUCACAGAAGUAGAGUAAUAAAAAUCAGAUCGUGCCUGGGCAGGUUCAGAAAUGCUCCUAGAAAAAUGUGACUCUUAUUAAGUGAUACGAAGAACUACUUAAGAUUUAGCCAAGGGGGACUUCUCUGGCAGUGCAGUGGUUAAGAAUCUGCCUGCCAACGCAGGAGACACCGGUUCAAUCCCUGCUCCUGGAAGAUCCCACAUGCAGCGGAGCAACUAAGACCAUGUGUCACAACUACUGAGCCUGCGCUCUAGAUCCCAUGUGCUGCAACUCCUGAGGCCGAGUGCUGCAGCUACUGAAGCCCGUGCACCUAGAGCCUGUGCCCUGCAGGAAGAGAAGCCACUGCAAUGAGAAGCCUGCACACUGCAACGAAGUGUAGCCGCCACUCACCACAACUAGAGAAAGUCCGCCUGCAGCAGUGAAGACCUAACACAGCUGAAAAAAAGAAAAAAGAUUUAGGCAAGGUACUUCCCUGGUGGUCCAGUGGUUAAGAAUCUGCCUUCCAAUGCAGGGGACGCAGGUUUGAUCCCUGGUCGGGGAACUAAGAUCACACUUGCUAUGGGGCAACUAAGCCCGUGUGCUGCAACUACUGAGCCUGCAUGCUACGGAGCCCACACAACGCAACGAGGAGCUCACGCACCACAACAAAAGAUCCCACAUGCCACAACAAAGAUACCAUGUGCCACAACUAAGACCCGACACAGCCAAAUAAAUAAAAUAAAAUAAAAUAAAAGAUUUAGCCAAGUUUGAGGAGAGAGUGCACACCUUGGGUCCAGUGAACUGAUAAGUAGAGGCGUAGGUUUGGAACCUAUGCCUAGGCUGGUGUGACUAAGUUAAGGGAUUGCUUGUCCGUUAUGGAAAAUGAGAGCAGAAAAUUUAGCAAGGAUUUGGUAAGAAUUUUAUCCUGAGGCUCAUUAAGAUGGUUGAGAUGACUUUAGUUCUCAGACUUUCUUUUUUCUUUUUCAAAUUUUUAAUUUUGGCUAUGCUGGGUCUUUGUUGUGGCACACAGGCUCUUAGUUGCAGUGGGCUUCUCUAGUUGUGGCGCACAGGCUCAGUAGUUGUGAUGCACUGGCUAACUUGCCCCGCAGCAUGCAGGAUCUUAGUUCCCCGAUCAGGGAUUGAACCCACGUCCCCAGCGUUGGAAGGCAGAUUCUUAACCACUGGACCAGCAGGGAAGUCCCUCUCAAACUUUCAAAAUGAUUCUCUUGUCCCCUUUCCCUGGUCAGUUACCACAGCAAAGUUUCUUGGAAGAGCUAUCCAUAUACACGGUCUCCCAAUUUCUCUCCUCUCAUUCUUUCUUAAAUCCAUUCCAGUCAAGCCAUCAUCCCCACCUUCUGCCCAAACUGCGUAUGUCAAGGACAUCAGUCUCAUGGCUUGAAAUAACAUUUAUAUGCUGAUGACUCCCAAAUGUGUAUCUUCAUCAGACUAUGUACCUGACAUCACCUCUUGGGUAUCUAACAGAUCAUUUCAAAUUCAGUGUGUCCAGAACUGAACAUUUUGAUCUCUAGUCCUUCAAUACCUGCUCUAGCCACAGCCUUAACCAUCUCAGCUGAUGACAAUUUAAAAAUUACAGUUAAACCAACACAACAUGGUAAAGCAACUAUACUCCAAUAAAAAUUAAUUUUAAAAAAAUUCCAGUUAAGUCAAAAACCCUGGAAACUUCAUUGACUCCUUUCUUUAUCUCAUUCUCUACUUUCAAUCAGACAGGAAAUCCUAUCUUGAGAAAUUAUGCAGAAUCUAACCUCUUCACUUCCACUACUUCCACUUUGAUCUGCGCCAUCCUCCUCUCUCACCUGGGUUACAGUAACAGCCUCCUAACUGGUCUUCCUGAGUCUAUUCUCUACACUGCAGUCAGAGUGGGCCAUUUCUCAGAGGAGGUUUCAAAGCAUUCCUUUGCUCAGAGUCCUGCAGUGCCUCUCCAUUGCUCUCAGAAUAAUAGCCAAAGUCCUUACUGCGGGCUACAAGACCCUAGAUGACUUGGCCACCUAUUAUGUUACUGAUUUUAUUACUCUCCCUGUCUGCACAGGCCUGUCUCACCCUAGGGCCCUUCCGCUCCUUUUCCCUCUGCCCAGCUGGCUUUCCCCCCAGAAACCUGCAUGACUCACUGCUUUAUUUCCUGGAAGUUUUUGCUCAGUGUUGGUCACCUCCUCAGUGAGGCCACUCCUGAUUACCCUUUCAAAAUUUUAAUCUUCCAUGACUAUCCUGGCACCCUGAUUCCCUUUUACCUGCUCUACCUUCUCUUUUUUUUCAUAAUCCUUGUCAUUUUCUAAUAGAUUGUGUAAAUUUUAAAUUGUGUUUACUUUUUAUUGUCUGUCCUCCACCCAUACCAGUUCCCACAAUAGAACAUAAACUUCACAAAAGCAAGGAUCUGUGUUUUGUUCACUCAAGCACCUGGAAUAGGGAAUGGAAUAUACUUAAUGCCCAACAAGUGAUUUUUAAAAUCUUAUCAAAGUGUGUCGUAUAUAUGUGUAUUUUAUAUAUAUGUGACAUUUUAAUAACCUCACAAACUGAGCAGAACAUGUAACCAAAAGUAAAAACUUAACUAGCACAGAAGCUGCCCAAGGUCCUCUUCUAGUCACUGCGCUCCCCCGAGGCUAACUACUAUCUUGACUUCUAACAAUAUAUAUAAAUAAUUUACUUUGUUUUGCACUUUAUAGAAAUGGAAUUGUACAGUGAGGUUUCUCUCAUGUCUGCCUUCUUUUGCUCAACAUUGUAUUAAUAAAAUU